CCUACGGGGGGCAGCAGUGAGGAAUAUUGGCCAAUGGACGAGAGUCUGAACCAGCCAAGUAGCGUGAAGGAUGACUGCCCUAUGGGUUGUAAACUUCUUUUAUAUGGGAAUAAAAUGUUCCACGUGUGGGAUUUUGUAUGUACCAUAUGAAUAAGGAUCGGCUAACUCCGUGCCAGCAGCCGCGGUAAUACGGAGGAUCCGAGCGUUAUCCGGAUUUAUUGGGUUUAAAGGGAGCGUAGGUGGAUUGUUAAGUCAGUUGUGAAAGUUUGCGGCUCAACCGUAAAAUUGCAGUUGAAACUGGCAGUCUUGAGUACAGUAGAGGUGGGCGGAAUUCGUGGUGUAGCGGUGAAAUGCUUAGAUAUCACGAAGAACUCCGAUUGCGAAGGCAGUUCACUGGACUGCAACUGACACUGAGGCUCGAAAGUGUGGGUAUCAAACAGGAUUAGAUACCCUUGUAGUC
rnacentral:rRNA from 1 species